CCCAGCAGGAGACAGCUAGAACUCUCUAUCUGCCCACCCUGGGUAACCACCCACCGCAGCAAUGCUUGUGGGGGGACAAGGCAGAGAUAUUUUACACCAUGACCUGGAUUGAUCUCCUUGUUCACGCACUUCAGGUGGCUCAUGGGGGAUACACCAUGGGCCUUCCUUUUACCAUCUGGUCAGCCAGCCACAGAAGCAAUAGCAACCAUUUAUUGAGCACUUACCGUGUGCCAAGCAAGAUGCUCAGCUCUGCAUUUAUUAUCACAACAGCCCUGGAAGUUACUAUUUUAAUUCCCAUUUUAGAGUUGAGAAAACGAAAUCUUGGAGACAUUACUAAACUUGUCCAAGUUCAUACAUCUAAUUGUGGUGGAGCUAGGAUGCAAAUCCAGGCUACAAAACUUGGGUUCUUAACCACUGCACUAGACCUGCUUCUUCCAACCAUUCACCCAGUUAUCCGGUUACCCAUCUGCAGAAGAUAGGAUCCACGCUUAAAUUAGGAUAGUUAAAAAUGAGCUUUAUAUGGGAUCGUUUAAAACAAGAUGAGGAGGCAGGUGGUGUGCAAGGAAACCACACAGGAUCCUUCCAGUGCCCUAGAAUCAGAAACAGCAGAACCAGUGUCUCCCAGAACCUGAAGGGCUGAAGUGGAGGAAGGAGGCAGAGAGGGCUGCCCAGCAGGAGCCGAGCCUAUCAUCAAGGGAAGUGGCCAGGCUGAGGCACCACAGAGAGAGAGCACACCCAGGAAUAAGUACCAUGGCUUUCCUCUUCCCUCCUCCCUCCCUGGCUGCCUCUCUCCUAACUCCUGCUUGGCUCCCCUUUGGGUUCACCCAACCAGAAGCCAAAGGGCACUGGAGCCUGUCAGUGCUGCCCCUUCUGGUCAACUUCUGGACACAGGGUAGGGUUGAGGGGAAGGAGAGCAGGUCUGAAGGGCACAGAGGAGGUGUCCUAU
rnacentral:lncRNA from 1 species